rnacentral:misc_RNA from 1 species
GAAGUAAAAGUCGUAACAAGGUUUCCGUAGGUGAACCUGCGGAAGGAUCAUUACCGAGUGUAGGGUUCCUAGCGAGCCCAACCUCCCACCCGUGUUUACUGUACCUUAGUUGCUUCGGCGGGCCCGCCAUUCAUGGCCGCCGGGGGCUCUCAGCCCCGGGCCCGCGCCCGCCGGAGACACCACGAACUCUGUCUGAUCUAGUGAAGUCUGAGUUGAUUGUAUCGCAAUCAGUUAAAACUUUCAACAAUGGAUCUCUUGGUUCCGGCAUCGAUGAAGAACGCAGCGAAAUGCGAUAACUAGUGUGAAUUGCAGAAUUCCGUGAAUCAUCGAGUCUUUGAACGCACAUUGCGCCCCCUGGUAUUCCGGGGGGCAUGCCUGUCCGAGCGUCAUUGCUGCCCAUCAAGCACGGCUUGUGUGUUGGGUCGUCGUCCCCUCUCCGGGGGGGACGGGCCCCAAAGGCAGCGGCGGCACCGCGUCCGAUCCUCGAGCGUAUGGGGCUUUGUCACCCGCUACUGUAGGCCCGGCCGGCGCUUGCCGAACGCAAAUCAAUCUUUUUCCAGGUUGACCUCGGAUCAGGUAGGGAUACCCGCUGAACCUAAGCAUAUCAAUAAAGCGGAGG